CGGGACGGGUGAGUAACGCGUGAGGAACCUGCCUCAGAGUGGGGGAUAACACACCGAAAGGUGUGCUAAUACCGCAUAACAUAUGGGAGGGGCAUCCCUUUCAUAUCAAAGAUUUAUUGCUCUGAGAUGGCCUCGCGUCCAAUUAGCUAGUUGGCGGGGUAACGGCCCACCAAGGCGACGAUUGGUAGCCGGACUGAGAGGUUGAACGGCCACAUUGGGACUGAGACACGGCCCAGACUCCUACGGAAGGCAGCAG
rnacentral:rRNA from 1 species